UACGUAGGGGGCGAGCGUUGUCUGGAGUUACUGGGCGUAAAGCGCACGCAGGCGGUCUGCUAAGUUUGGAGUGACAGUUGGUGGCUUAACUGCCAAAGUGCUUCGAAAACUGACAGACUUGAGGGCUUCAGAGGGACACGGAAUUCCGGGUGGAGUGGUGAAAUGCGUAGAGAUCCGGAGGAACACCAAAGGCGAAGGCAGUGUCCUGGGGAGUACCUGACGCUCAGGUGCGAAAGCCAGGGGAGCGAACGGG
rnacentral:rRNA from 1 species